ensembl:lncRNA
CUCAAAUAAUCUCAGAUAAUCUCAGGUAAUCUCAGAUAAUCUCAGAUAAUCUCAGGUAAUCUCAGAUAAUCUCAGAUAAUCUCAGGUAAUUUCAGAUAUAACCGCACAAUUGCAAGUGUGAUAUUGCUUUUAUAUAACAAUUCUAUAAGCAAGAAAUUGAUAUUGAGUAAGUGACAUUUUGGGUAAAAUAUGGCCGAACAUAUUGUUUAUUUUUAGUUGAAAUAGAUCCCAAAGAAGCCACUCUCACUUUACAGCCUGUCAGCGAGCUAACGUAGAUUUGUACAUUCCCAUUAAAGGAGCUUCAUUUUGGC